rnacentral:lncRNA from 1 species
CUCUCCUUUAAGGUAUACAAUGGUCAUAGGAAAAUUGUAUUGCAAGUUUACUACCCCCAGCAGAAGUAUACUACGGGUAGUAAACUUUAUUUUUCUACAUCUAAGUUGAUUUUUCACUGUUUUAAGAUGUAUAAUGGUCAUGGAGAAACUUUAUUUUGAGUUUAUUACCCCCGGCCAGUAAAAGUUUACUAGGGGUAGUAAACUUUUUUUUUCGUACUUGGGUUAAGAUCACGUAAAUUCCAAUGGCAUUUAAAAAAAUCCAGUGAGAUUUCCGGAAAAUUCCGGCCACCGGAUGCUGGCAAUUUUCCGGCCGUCGGAAAAUUCCGGUCACCGGUGACCGGAUUCCGGCGGCCGGAAUUCGGAGUCCGGCAACCAGAAUGCGGCCGCCGGUGACUGGCGCCGGAGCCCGGUGUGCUUCCAGCAAAGUCUUCCCUCCAUCUUUUUCACUUUUUCUCUUCAAGUAAAAGCUAAGGGUAAAAAAGUCUUUAAAAAUAUAAUUUUAUUAUAUUUUAAUAAAGAUUUGUGUAUUUGGGCUUAAAAUAAGUACCUGUAUUCAAAUGAGCUAAUAAAAAAGAUUAUCAUUGAAAUGGGGUUUGACUUUUUCUAUUUUGUGCAAAUGGUCUUUUUUCCUCUGCUUGGGUUUUUCCCUAAGCCUGCCACGUCAUGGUAUCACAAUCCAGUGGAUAGAAAUACAAGUCUUCCAAAACUGAAGUUGUGCCGAGAAGUAUGUGAUUUUUGUCUCACUUCCUCUGCAACAAAACCCAAAUUCAUCCCUUUAAUUUCUCUCUCUAUGCCGAAGAAAGAAGAACAAAGUCGUCGUCUCGUCGAUCUAUCUAUUUGCAGCCAACAUGAAUUAUGCGAUUACUCUAGUUCCUAUUAAGUUUGAUUAUUGACGAAUGACAAACGCGAAGCAGUAGCAUUUGAGAGGCGCCCGUCUCCAAACUCGAUCAAGUUCAUGCAUUUCUACGAAGAAUCUGAGCUUUGAUAAAUUUCUGGGUUCUAGUGCUCUGUCAUCUAAUUGUUUUCUUGUCCUUUAAAUCUCGAUUGUUUGGUUUGUGUUUUUGAUUGAUUGAUUUGAUUCAAGUUUCUGAGCUAUUCUAUUGAGCUUUCUUCUUGAUGGAUUUCACACCAGAAUAUAAAAUG